UACGUAGGGUGCAAGCGUUGUCCGGAAUUAUUGGGCGUAAAGAGCUCGUAGGCGGUUCGUCGCGUCGGCUGUGAAAACCCGGAGCUCAACUCCGGGCCUGCAGUCGAUACGGGCGGACUCGAGUUCGGCAGGGGAGACUGGAAUUCCUGGUGUAGCGGUGAAAUGCGCAGAUAUCAGGAGGAACACCGGUGGCGAAGGCGGGUCUCUGGACAUUUCCUGACGCUGAGGCACGAAAGCCAGGGGAGCAAACGGG
rnacentral:rRNA from 1 species